AAAUAAAAGCUUCACUGAUUGGUUGCUGGAGCUCAGCUUUUAUUUCUGAUUCUGUUGUGGUAAAAUGAAAGCAGCGCUACAAUUGGUUGCCAUUUCUUACACUGCUGAGAAUCUAGUCAGUGAGUCUGCCAUCUUGUGGUCAUCAUCUGGAGAUGCUACUCACAUGAGGGACACUACUUACCGGUCUGCCACCUAGUGGGUUAUAUCCUGGAAUGUCUUUGGUGACUUCUAUUAUGUUCUGCUCUUGGGAGAUUCUUUCACACUGGUCCGAUAUACAGGAGCACUCAGAUAUGG